rnacentral:lncRNA from 1 species
CUCCUGUUGAAUGUAGGAUUCACUCAUUUUGAGCUUAAUAGUUUUAUUGCAAUUGUGUUCAUUGGAUUUUCAAGAUUGUGUAUUAUUGUAAAAUAUGCACAACAUAAUCCUGAGCUUAAUUAUUUUAUCUCUUCUACCCCCAGAUAUUGUGCACAGGUCAGAGAGUUGUCUCUCUCAGGCCACAAGUACCCACAGGUCAGGCACUAGCCAGGCCUCCAGUGACCUUGUUGUUGAAUACAUGUCUGAGCUCCAUACCAACUGCCUUGACACCGCAUUGCCUGUGAGGUGCACUUCUACAGCUGUUGGCGAUACAGAGACUUGUCACGUCCCCUCUGCCAGAGUGAAGAAGAAGAGUCAGGGCCGGAGGUUCAGUUGCUGCCCAAAGUUGCCAACGGUCAGCAUCAAGGUGUUCAAGAGCAGAGUGGAACCAGAGAGCCACCCUGUUCAAAAGGAGCUGCCUUCGCAGCGUUUCAGCACCUCUCGAGUUGCGCUGUAUGAUGAUCAUGCUGUCCCAUUCAUUCCCCAACUUGAGGACGACCUGCCACCAGCACCUGCACAGGAGUCCCGUAAACGUCCCCUGUUGGUGAGAAUGUUCCGGGCCAUUUCCAGGGCCAUCUCGAAGCCAUUCAAGGGCUGUGCUUUUUGCAAGAAGAAUUAGGAAAGGGUUAGCCAUCAACAUCUAAUAAACAUGUUAGCAGCAUUGAUUUGUGUGUCU